ACACCAGGCUCUGCCCAUAGUGUCACAACUUCAGAGCCUACCUGUCAUGCUGCCAACCCUCUUAGCUCUCAUAAGCCUGGUGGGAACUACACUCUUUUGGAAAGUAUGGAAGAGUCUCCCCAGAAGCUCUCCAGGCUCUGAAGCCCAGCCAGCUGCUCAAGGCCCAGUGGGAUGCAGCUGUGACCGUCAGCCCCAGCCAGGCGGCCAAGGUGAGGGACCUUGCCUUGAAGAUCUGCUGUCAGCCAAGCUGCACUCCCCACCCAGUCUCCAGCCACUGCCCAGACUCCCAGU
rnacentral:lncRNA from 1 species